CUAAACUCAUGGCCGUCAUGGCCAAGAAAAGUGAUAUUUCAUAUUAUGAAAUAGUGGACAUGAUUUCAGAGACUACUGCACCUCUAUCUCCCAUGGAGGUACUUCUAGCAAAGAUACCUUCUCAACGACCUUAUGUUUCAUUACCCAUGUAUUUGACACCACCUAGAGUCUUUCCUAUGACUUCCUGGAGUAGGGAAUUAUGUAUCAUCUACACGUAGAUAAAGGUCACCAGAGCUUCAUGUUUGUGAUGGCUUAAAGGCAUGGGAGACAUUGAAAAGCAGAGUACAUGACUAGUGAGGCUCAAGUAUGUUUUGGUUCCUCUGCCCUCAAACUUUCACUGAAAUAAUAUACUCAAAUAUGAUUGUUUGAUAUGUCAUUUUCUCUAAUUUCAGUGUGCUAAGUGUGAGAUAGCAAUUAACUUUAUAACUGUGUUGGUUUCACUUUCUGAAGUUCUAUUGAGACUUUUAUUGUUAGGCUUAAGUAACUAGGGUAUUUUGUAAAGUGCAUAUAUGAAACUAUUCUUCUGCCAACUUGUACCUGUUCUACAAGUCCAACAAUGUUUCUCAGAUAUUGAAACUGCCAAGUACAAAUAUGAACAUUUAGUUGUUGUGUUUAUAUACCUUCAAAGGCAGUUUCAAAGGCUAAGAAAUGAGUACUAUGCUGGU